GACUCCAUGAAGCUGGAUUCGCUAGUAAUCGCGCAUCAGCCACGGCGCGGUGAAUACGUUCCCGGGCCUUGUACACACCGCCCGUCAAGCCAUGGAAGCCGGGGGUGCCUGAAGUGCGCUGCCGCAAGGAGCGCCCUAGGGUAAAACCGGUGACUGGGGCUAAGUCGUAACAAGGUAGC
rnacentral:rRNA from 1 species